rnacentral:rRNA from 1 species
UUGCACGCUGGCGGCAGGCCUAACACAUGCAAGUCGAGCGGAUGAAGGGAGCUUGCUCCUGGAUUCAGCGGCGGACGGGUGAGUAAUGCCUAGGAAUCUGCCUGGUAGUGGGGGAUAACGUCCGGAAACGGGCGCUAAUACCGCAUACGUCCUGAGGGAGAAAGUGGGGGAUCUUCGGACCUCACGCUAUCAGAUGAGCCUAGGUCGGAUUAGCUAGUUGGUGGGGUAAAGGCCUACCAAGGCGACGAUCCGUAACUGGUCUGAGAGGAUGAUCAGUCACACUGGAACUGAGACACGGUCCAGACUCCUACGGGAGGCAGCAGUGGGGAAUAUUGGACAAUGGGCGAAAGCCUGAUCCAGCCAUGCCGCGUGUGUGAAGAAGGUCUUCGGAUUGUAAAGCACUUUAAGUUGGGAGGAAGGGCAGUAAGUUAAUACCUUGCUGUUUUGACGUUACCAACAGAAUAAGCACCGGCUAACUUCGUG